rnacentral:ribozyme from 1 species
UGCCCAGCAACUCCUAUCCCUACAUCCUCGUGGUACUGGGUACGAGUAACCUUAGGGAAGAUCUGGUAGCCAACCCCGGUGGGAACUUUGGUCGUAUGCUGACAGGGAAGG